UCGGGAAUUUUGGGCAAUGGGCGAAAGCCUGACCCAGCAACGCCGCGUGAGGGAUGAAGUAUUUCGGUAUGUAAACCUCGAAAGGAUGGGAAGAAUAAAUGACGGUACCAUUUAUAAGCUCCGGCUAACUACGUGCCAGCAGCCGCGGUAAUACGUAGGGAGCAAGCGUUGUUCGGAUUUACUGGGCGUAAAGGGCGCGUAGGCGGCGCGGUAAGUCACUUGUGAAAUCUCUGAGCUUAACUCAGAACGGCCAAGUGAUACUGCUGUGCUAGAGUGCGGAAGAGGCAACCGGAAUUCUUGGUGUAGCGGUGGAAUGCGUAGAUAUCAAGAGGAACACCUGAGGCGAAGGCGGGUUGCUGGGCCGACACUGACGCUGAUGCGCGAAAGCCAGGGGAGCAAACG
rnacentral:rRNA from 1 species